AACCAGCUCAUUUUACUCUUUCUUUCUCCAGGUUGCUGUGGGUGUGUAACUGAUGCGCCUCAUUAGAGUUCGAGAUUGUGUGUCACAGAACUGGAGAGGGUGCCUUCACAUUAAAAGCAGCUCUGUCAAGCCAGCAUCUAUCUUCUGCUAAAAAGGAAGGUCCUGCUCCCUCUCCCCUGCCUCCUUUUCUCAGCUGCUUUGGCAAUUGAGCAACCUUAAGG
rnacentral:lncRNA from 14 species